AGAGUUUGAUCAUGGCUCAGGACGAACGCUGGCGGCGUGCCUAAUACAUGCAAGUAGAACGCUGAAGAGAGGAGCUUGCUCUUCUUGGAUGAGUUGCGAACGGGUGAGUAACGCGUAGGUAACCUGCCUUGUAGCGGGGGAUAACUAUUGGAAACGAUAGCUAAUACCGCAUAACAAUGGAUGACCCAUGUCAUUUAUUUGAAAGGGGCAAAUGCUCCACUACAAGAUGGACCUGCGUUGUAUUAGCUAGUAGGUGAGGUAACGGCUCACCUAGGCGACGAUACAUAGCCGACCUGAGAGGGUGAUCGGCCACACUGGGACUGAGACACGGCCCAGACUCCUACGGGAGGCAGCAGUAGGGAAUCUUCGGCAAUGGGGGCAACCCUGACCGAGCAACGCCGCGUGAGUGAAGAAGGUUUUCGGAUCGUAAAGCUCUGUUGUAAGUCAAGAACGAGUGUGAGAGUGGAAAGUUCACACUGUGACGGUAGCUUACCAGAAAGGGACGGCUAACUACGUGCCAGCAGCCGCGGUAAUACGUAGGUCCCGAGCGUUGUCCGGAUUUAUUGGGCGUAAAGCGAGCGCAGGCGGUUUGAUAAGUCUGAAGUUAAAGGCUGUGGCUCAACCAUAGUUCGCUUUGGAAACUGUCAAACUUGAGUGCAGAAGGGGAGAGUGGAAUUCCAUGUGUAGCGGUGAAAUGCGUAGAUAUAUGGAGGAACACCGGUGGCGAAAGCGGCUCUCUGGUCUGUAACUGACGCUGAGGCUCGAAAGCGUGGGGAGCGAACAGGAUUAGAUACCCUGGUAAUCCACGCCGUAAACGAUGAGUGCUAGGUGUUGGAUCCUUUCCGGGAUUCAGUGCCGCAGCUAACGCAUUAAGCACUCCGCCUGGGGAGUACGACCGCAAGGUUGAAACUCAAAGGAAUUGACGGGGGCCCGCACAAGCGGUGGAGCAUGUGGUUUAAUUCGAAGCAACGCGAAGAACCUUACCAGGUCUUGACAUCCCGAUGCUAUUUCUAGAGAUAGAAAGUUACUUCGGUACAUCGGUGACAGGUGGUGCAUGGUUGUCGUCAGCUCGUGUCGUGAGAUGUUGGGUUAAGUCCCGCAACGAGCGCAACCCCUAUUGUUAGUUGCCAUCAUUCAGUUGGGCACUCUAGCGAGACUGCCGGUAAUAAACCGGAGGAAGGUGGGGAUGACGUCAAAUCAUCAUGCCCCUUAUGACCUGGGCUACACACGUGCUACAAUGGUUGGUACAACGAGUUGCGAGUCGGUGACGGCAAGCUAAUCUCUUAAAGCCAAUCUCAGUUCGGAUUGUAGGCUGCAACUCACCUACAUGAAGUCGGAAUCGCUAGUAAUCGCGGAUCAGCACGCCGCGGUGAAUACGUUCCCGGGCCUUGUACACACCGCCCGUCACACCACGAGAGUUUGUAACACCCGAAGUCGGUGAGGUAACCUUUUGGAGCCAGCCGCCUAAGGUGGGAUAGAUGAUUGGGGUGAAGUCGUAACAAGGUA
rnacentral:rRNA from 1 species